rnacentral:tRNA from 1 species
ACCGCAUUAGCCAAAAGGUAAGGCAUAGCACUUUGACUGCUAGAUGUAUUGGUUCGAAUCCAAUAUGCGGUG